CUAUUCUAAAACUUUAAUAAAAACGGUUGUUUUGCUCCCUAAUGUCCAAGUUUCAUUGAUUAAUAGCUAUCGGUGUGAACAACUACCUGGACCAAGAAGAUCAGCUGGAUUCAGAGAUAUCCUUCACUAGUUCUUAAUCUGAGAUGUUCAGAAACUUCCUUGGAAAUGUCUAUUUCUGGAGAGACCAUCGCUCGCUCUCCCCUAGGUGGACAGAGCAAGAAGGUGAGCCAUGACCUGGAUCCGCUGGAGCAGGACAGGACAGUGGUAGGGGAGCCCAGGAAGGGAUCAGGCAGGCACAGGAGAGAAGGAUGAGUUGAGACCCCAACACGCUGCUUUUGAGGCGCUUGCCGCACCUUCCCACAGGAGGCUGAGGAAACGGCUCUGAGAAAUAGCUACUAAAGUCCUAAGAUUUUGCCUCAGAAAUCUCCUUCGGAUUUGGCCCUCCAUUCAGACCCCACUGCAGCAGGCUUCCUCUGUGGCACCCAGGAACGGCCCCUGCAGUCCUCCCCAUUUUAACCCUAGAGGAAUCAUAAAACAGAAGUCUGAUUACAUAUUCAUCAUCUCCCUGUAUAACCACCACGUGGGGGUUCCCACAGCGUAAGGCCCUUCCUAGGAGGCAGCAACCCCUCCCUCCAACCCCAUCUCAACCUGCGCUACACUCAUACCCCUCUCCCACCUCCUGUCUUCCACUUGCUGUUACUUUUUGUAAACAACUCUUUCUCCUGGUUUCCCCCGGUUUCCCCCAGCUGACAGCUUACACAGCCUCUUCUGAAGAAUCCUGUCUUGACAACCCUCUGUCCCUAACAGUUUGCUCUCUCUGUGUGUUCUUAAGUCCCUUUGUUCCUGCAUCUUUCAGAGGGGGGCUGUGAGGAGUCCAUGAGUGAAUACCCGGUGCCUGUCCUGGCAAACAGUGACUGCUCAAUCAUUGUGAGCUAUGUUUUAUUUUAUUAAACAAAUUUUUUUUUGAGACAGAGUCUCGCUCCAUCGCCAGGCGUGAUCUCAGCUCACUGCAACCUCCACCUCCCAGGUCCAAGCGAUUCUCGUGCUUCAGCCUCCAGAGUAGCUAGGAUUACAGGUGUUAGCACAACUAAGUUCCUCUUCAAAACUUAACUCCCUGUUUAUAAAUUGUAAGGUUAUAAGCUAGCUCUUCUCCCUGCUUUCCCCUUUCUCCACUUUGGCCUUCAAAGUCCUCAUCUCACUACCUUAUUUAGAAAGAGUUUCAAACUUCCUUCUGUUCUGUAACCAACCCCCUUGCUGUGCCCGUACAUGUCCAGACAUGCCUAGGCAUGCCUUCCCUCCUGCCUAGUUAGUAACAGACAGUCUCUCCUCCCCACUCCUCUUGUAGCAAAUUGCACGUUUACCCUAUUUGGAGAAUUUUAAGUCUUAGCCAAUCAGGUCAGCUUAGAUUGUGAGGUCCAACUCCAGCCGAUGGGGAAAGGACACAGAAACAGGAACUGCAUUAGGGAUAAAAACCCUUUCUCUCCUUUGUUGGGGUGCUCUUGUGAUCGUGGCUGACGCAGGCAGCACACUUCUGUAGAAGUAAUUGCCUUACUGAGAAAACUUUUUGCCUGAGUGCUGGUUCUUCUUUGUGGCACCGAGCACUUGUUUCUAACAGAGACAUGUGCCACUGCGCCCGGUUAAUUUUUCUAUUUUUAGUAGAGAUGGGAUUCUGCCAUGUUGGCCAGGCUGGUCUGAAACUCCUGACCUCAAGUGAUUUGCCCACCUCGGCCUCCCAAAGUGCUGGAUUACAGGUGUUAGCCACCACGCCCGGCCAUAUUUAAUUUUAAUGUGUAUUAUCUUUAGAAUAAUUUCUUUUUGAAAAUCUUUUGGAGUGUUUUACUUUCUUUCUUGCUCUUGAAACCUGGCAUAUAGCAGGUGCUCAACAAAUACUGAAGGAAGGAACGACGGUGAGAGAGAAAAACGGUUUUCCAAGGGCCUGCACAGGAAAGAUACAGAAGGGCUCCAGGUGUCUUCUGCAACUGCCCCCAGCAGCUUCAGGCUCCACACAGGGAGCAAGGAAGCUCUCAGUACCUGGCAAUAUCAGAUUGUGUGCUGCCCCCCACCAAUGUGAUGUCAACUCUAUGGAUGCUUUUGUCUUUUCUUGGCCUUGGGAGGGACCCCGUGGCAGAGGCUGCAGAGACAGGACUGGGGGCUUGAAGAUUCCAAAGCCUUGGGACUUGAAGGAAACUUUUCUGAAAUUCUGACUGAUGACUGCAGAUACAGCUGGCCUCUAUACAUUCCUGAAUCAACCAGAACAUUGUCGAUUAUGC